rnacentral:rRNA from 1 species
AUUGAACGCUGGCGGCAUGCCUUACACAUGCAAGUCGAACGGUAACAGGUCUUCGGAUGCUGACGAGUGGCGAACGGGUGAGUAAUACAUCGGAACGUGCCCGAUCGUGGGGGAUAACGCAGCGAAAGCUGUGCUAAUACCGCAUACGAUCUACGGAUGAAAGCGGGGGAUCGCAAGACCUCGCGCGGACGGAGCGGCCGAUGGCAGAUUAGGUAGUUGGUGGGAUAAAAGCUUACCAAGCCGACGAUCUGUAGCUGGUCUGAGAGGACGACCAGCCACACUGGGACUGAGACACGGCCCAGACUCCUACGGGAGGCAGCAGUGGGGAAUUUUGGACAAUGGGCGCAAGCCUGAUCCAGCCAUGCCGCGUGAGUGAAGAAGGCC